AUGGAUCUUAACUCUAUUCCCAGUCACAACUGCUAACAGCUCAGCAGUUGGAACAGAUCAAAUGGAAAGCAGAGGGCUUUGCCAGCCCCUAAGCCUACUGUGAACUUAGCACUGCAGCACUGAGGUGAAGGACCAAGCCCCCAAGGCUCAGCAAGUUCACAGAAAAGAGCAAAAUCAGGCCUACAGCAGAUAAAAUCUUGGGAGGCCUAUUAAGGCUUAGAAUUCCACUAAUGAAGUGAGUCACCCCUUCCCAGGGACCAGCACCAGGCCAGCAUGACAUCGCAAUUUCAGCCGAGUGUCCCUGGCGACUUUCAGUGAUGGAGAUGGAGACUGCACACGAUUGCUGGAGAACACACACAGUUCCAGCUGCAGCAGGCCUGGUGGAGACAGACGGUGGCUGGCAAGAGUGGCACAGCCCAAGCCUGCAGCUCUGCCCCUCUGCACGGGCACCAUGUGGCUAGGAAUUUGUUUCUUGGUUGAGUAACAUUUUUGAUGAAAUAAGCAACAAAACGCAGGGCAUCAGAAUGACCGCUGCAGUAAUGAAACAAUUGAGAUGCCCACCAAAGACAGCUGGAAAUCGGACAACGAAGAUGGAGAAGACUUAACAGUUUUAAUAAACUGGAACCAAGUGACAACACGCGUAGUUCAGUUUUGCCGUGCUCUGGCCUGAGUUUGAAGCUGGAAUACUUGUAGCAGUUUGAGUAAGGAGUGUCUAGGAGUGGCUCUCUGAGUUUUUCCUGCUUGAAGUAGAAGAUUAGUAUUGUUUACAAUAUUCCACAAUUUGGGGCCGUUAUUUCAAGAAUUUUUCUGUGCCUGCUCUGCUCUCUGGAUUCCCCUCUUGUACAGUGUGCUGCUGUCUGAGAUCUUACCAUUGGAUUCUCUUCAUUUUUCUGCAUUCCUCAGACUUGGUAAUCUCUUCAAAUUCACCGAUUCUUCUUCCUGCUUAAAGCUGUUGUUGCACUGCUCUAGUAAAUUUCUCACUGCAAUUACUAGAGGUAUCUUCCUGAAAGAGUCAAAGACAUCAUAUUACAGGGAUAUGUGCACACCCGUGCCUACAGCAGCACAGCUCAUAAUAGCCAAAUCUUGCAAGGGGCCGAUAUGACCAUCCAGAGGAACGCAUAAAGAAAAUGUGGCAUUUACACACAACAGAGUACUACUCUGCCAGAAAGAAGAGUGGGCGAGGGCCGGGGAUUUAGCUCAGUGGUUUCGUCGCCUGCUGCGGAAGCGCAAGGACCUGAGCUCGAUCCCCGGUACCAAAAAAAAGAAGGGUACGAGAGUCAUUUGUAGGAAAAUAGAUGCACCUUGCGACCAUAAUGUUAAGUGAAAUAAAUCAGACACACAAGCUUAAUAUAAAUAAAUUAAAGAGCAAAAUAGACGAUAAUAGGAAACAGGGAGAUGG
rnacentral:lncRNA from 1 species